UUUGGAGGUCCAUUAAGUUCACUAUCGAUAACGCCCGGUACGUCUACCAAUAGAAUCGAUCCAUCACACCCCUACACAAAACCAAAAAAAAUAUUAAGAGUAGAUUCAUCCAUCAUGUUACAAAACAUUUACUAGAUAUGUGUUUAUGCAAUACGAAAAAAAAAAGAAAAUGAAAUAAAAUAAUACAUUGACAAAGCAAUCAUGAAAAUGGAGGCGAAUGAGCUUAGCAGCAGCUCGGUCAUCAGUCUGUAGGGCUUGGGCAACCACGUUGAGAACAACGAAAGGCAGCUGAGGGCAUGUGGUGGCGUAGAAGAAAGGAGAAAGCUGGGCUUGAGAGGGUGAUAGCAUCAAAGCCACCACCACAACAAUGGCUGCCAUUUUAGGUAAACCCAUUUUUGAUACUGCAAAUGGGGUCUUCUCUGGUCUUUGCUUUGGGGAUAAGAAACUUUGUGCAAACAUAUCUUCCUUUUAUACACACCCCAUCACCUUUAAUUUUUAGUAUACCAAACAACUUGGGAUUCAAUUAAACAAUACAAUAAUCCAACUCUAUCCCACAAUUAAAAUAUGACUUUUCUUUUUCUCUCUUUUUGAAAUUUGGUACUGCCUUGGGUUGGUUUUAUACCAUUAUUGCUUGUCUUCUUGUGUGUGUGUAUAUAUAUUUUCAAUGACCAUUCUAGUAAAUUUGCCUCCUUGUACGAUUUUCUUUUUCUAUCUUAUUAUGCACAUGAUGUAUAGCAGUGUGCAUGCAUCAACGUACACAUAGUUUAACGGGAAGAUUAUAUUGUUUCUUUGUUUAAUAAAUGAAGUUGUUGGGGAUUCAACUUUUAAAAUACCCAAAUUUUUUGUGAAGAGAUGGCUACUGGAUUUUUUGUGAGAUUCCAUAUUUUUAUAAUUUAUUUUAUGGAAUUGAUCAUCAAAUAUAAAAUUACAAGAUUAUUGUGUUGUUGUAAUUUUGUGACUAUUAAUAAUAAAUCCAUGAAUUGUCAAAAAUCUUAAAUGACAAGAUUGGUAGUUUAAAAGUUAUAUUUAUUAGACAUUUUGGAAAUAGAAAUAAAAAAUCUCUUAAAAGUAGAAAAAAUUAUGAAUUCCAAUUUUGAGGGCUGUUGGUAUCAAAAUUUCUAAUUAAGUUCAUUAUUAUAUGGUUACUAUCCAUUUAUAAGUUGAAGUUCUACUUAAUUUUUUUAAAAAAAUGUGAAACGUACUAAAAAGGUUUACUUUUAAAAUUGAAGGACGAUACAUACUUAUUGAUUGAUGAAGACUUCGAGAACUAAAAAAAAUAGAUUUUCUAUUUUUUUUAUAUUUAUAUUAUGUUUGUAACGAUAAUUCUUCAUGCCUAAAGCUAAACUUGUUGGGUAAGGUUGGAAAGAAGAGAAAGAGAAAAAGAAAUUACUACACUAUAAUAAGAAAAGAAACGAGGUAUAUAUUAUGAUAAUUACAAGUUUUUUACCAAAUGACAUUGCUACAAAAAGGAUAAAGAUGUUUAGUUGAAUUUAGAGUUUGUUUAAAUUGAUGGGAGAAAAAAUGUUUUUCAAUUUAAUUCCCUUUUAUUUAAAUAUUCUUUGUAAAAGUUAAUUAAAAUGCACUUUGAUGUUGUCACGAUGUCUAGGCCUUGGAUUCCAUUGUUGGGAGGUGCGUUCAAUUCACUGUCGAUAACACCAGGUACGUCUUCCAAUAGCACAUAUCCAUCACACUCCUACAUAAAUUGACCCAACAUCCAACGUAUAAGUCUUGCUUUAUACUUUCGUAUAGGAAGAAGUGAGAAGAUGUUUGGCUAAACAAAAAAAAAAAAAAGUAUUUUUAAGUAGUUAGAAAAAAUCAAUUCAAAUAGGUUUAUGAUGAGUACGUGCAUUGGCAAAGCAGUCAUGAAAGUGGAAACGAAUGAACUUGGCAGCAGCUCGAUCAUCUGUUUGGAGAGCUUGAUAGACUGUAUUUAGAACAACAGCAGUCAGUUAAGGGCAAGUCGAGGCGUAGAAUAAAUUGUUAAGCUGAGCCAGAGAGGGAGCAAGCAUCAAAGCUACCACAACAAAGGCCGUAAGUUUAGAGGAAGCCAUUGCUAAUGUUUUUGGGUUAUUUGUGAGAGUAAGUUGUGGAGAAAUGGAGAGGUGAUGUUUGAUUAAUUUAUACACAGCAGCCAUGAGUUUGGGGCACAUAUAGUCGAUUGAUUCAAGGUCAUUAACAUUAAAUUAUUAACAAAAUUGAGUAUGAUUAUUUUCAACACAUCAGGGUUUUCGUUUGGUAUUUGGG
rnacentral:lncRNA from 1 species